rnacentral:lncRNA from 1 species
UUUUUACCCAUAUUUAUAUGGGCGGAUUGCAAUGCAAAUCAUUUUUACUUGAUCCAUAUUUAACCCAUCCAAAUUCAAUCCAAUCCACCCGUUUGCCACCCCUAGUCAUAGCGCACAAUGAAAUAAAAUAAGCUAUAUGUAGAGAAACAACUAUGAGUCAAGGUGUCAAAAAAUCUGUUGUUUUAUUUACAUUCAAGCACUCACAAGAAAUACUAUUCAAGUUCAGGCC